rnacentral:rRNA from 1 species
UACAGAGGUGGCAAGCGUUGUUCGGAAUUACUGGGCGUAAAGGGCGCGUAGGCGGUUCGUUAAGUCCUGUGUGAAAUCCCCCGGCUCAACUGGGGAACUGCACAGGAAACUAGCGGGCUUGAGUUCGGGAGAGGGAAGCGGAAUUCCGGGUGUAGCGGUGAAAUGGCGUAGAGUAUCCGGAGGAACACCGGUGGCGAAGGCGG